rnacentral:miRNA from 1 species
AACCUCAUCAACCGGAAGGGAUUCCUUCCGGUCGAUGAGGGUGUUUUACCUCAUCGACCGGAAGGGAUUCCUUCCGGUCGAUGAGGUA